GAAAAGAGGUAUGUAGUUCCUUUUAUCAAUUGUUUAUUUAUACUCAUGUACUACUUUCGCGUAAUAAUCUAACAUGAGACGAUUCAGCUUGAAAUUAUUGUAAACAAACCCACAUGGAGUACAAAUGAUUUACAAUGGAAGUGACAGGCUUCCCUUCAACAUUAGCAAGGAUGGACCAAAGCUAUGAAAAUUGGACAGUCUCAAAGACACAAGCAUAUAAGAACUAUUUUAGUCGGUAUAAAUGUGUCCCUACGGAGUUAGCUAACAGACAGCGGGAUAAUUAACAUUGCAUGGUGAAUAUGUAGAAAUUUCGCUCUGUGUCAUCUCUACUCAGCACAACCGCAGUCAGAUACACUAUUCUCAUGAUUCUGAAGAAAAUUCUAACAAGAGACAGUUGUCAGAAGAAUGGUGAAGACAAUCUCCAGAAAAGAAAACACUACUGAUAUUAGGAUGCAUGUACCAAUUUUUUACAAUCCCGAAAGACAAAUUGGCCACAGGAAUAAAAAAAAAUAUUGUAUGGCGUUCAAGGGUCUGCCAUGAUAGGAGCUCUCCUGAAAAAAAAAAUCCAUUUAUUAUGGACAUCAUGACACAGGGCUCACCUGUCAUCAGCAUUAGAGACGUGAUUUGUUCUACCUGAGUCAUACGUGUAUUGAAUCAAGACAAUUUAUAGAACCACAAGCACAUUGUAAAUCUUUGUAAGGUCUUCUAUGUAUGUUGCAUCCUUAUUUGAUUUGCAGCUUAACAAGACUUUGUUUCAUCGGUACUAAGGCAACUUAAUAUACAGAAAAAAUCAAAAGCAGUUUUUAUUUAUACAAAAUUUUAUUCACAUAAGUGAAUGGGAUUGGGCAGCAGGCAAAGCCUAUUUUAGCCCUCUCCCUAAAAAGCAGUUGUGAUAUUUAUUGUUUUCUAUUACUCAUUAGUACUCAUUUUUGUGUGAAAUUUUAUAAUUAUCCAUUUCUUGUUCCCAAAAACCGUAUCUUACAAAUUUAAUGUAUAAUUACAACUUGCAUUUCAAUUUUAUC